UAGUCAUAUGCUUGUCUCAAAGAUUAAGCCAUGCAUGUCUAAGCACAAGCCGAUUAAUGGUGAAGCCGCGAAUGGCUCAUUACAACAGCCAUAGUUUCUUAGAUCUUACUUUUCUACUUGGAUAACUGUGGUAAUUCUAGAGCUAAUACACGCAAACAAGCUCAGACCUUACGGAAUGAGCGCAUUUAUUAGAACAAAAACCAAUCGGGCUUCGGUCCGUCAUUUGGUGAAUCUGAAUAACUUUGCUGAUCGCACGGUCUUCGUACCGGCGACAUAUCUUUCAAAUGUCUGCCUUAUCAACUUUCGAUGGUAGUUUAUGCGCCUACCAUGGUUGUAACGGGUAACGGAGAAUAAGGGUUCGACUCCGGAGAGGGAGCCUGAGAAACGGCUACCACAUCCAAGGAAGGCAGCAGGCACGCAAAUUACCCACUCCCGGCACGGGGAGGUAGUGACGAAAAAUAACGAGACGGCUCGCUAUGCGGUCCGUCAUCGGAAUGGGUACAAUUUAGAUCCUUUAACGAGGAUCUAUU
rnacentral:rRNA from 1 species